GACGAACGCUGGCGGCGUGCUUAACACAUGCAAGUCGAACGGAAAGGCCCUGCUUUUGUGGGGUGCUCGAGUGGCGAACGGGUGAGUAACACGUGAGUAACCUGCCCUUGACUUUGUGAUAACUUCAGGAAACUGGGGCUAAUACCUGAUAGGAGCUCCUGCUGCAUGGUGGGGGUUGGAAAGUUUCGGCGGGUGGGGAUGGACUCGCGGCUUAUCAGCUUGUUGGUGGGGUAGUGGCUUACCAAGGCUUUGACGGGUAGCCGGCCUGAGAGGGUGAACGGCCACAUUGGGACUGAGAGACGGACCAGACUCCUACGGGAGGCAGCAGUGGGGAAUAUUGCACAAUGGGCGGAAGCCUGAUGCAGAAACGCCGCGUGCGGGAUGACGGCCUUCGGGUUGUAAACCGCUUUCGCCUGUGACGAAGCGUGAGUGACGGUAAUGGGUAAAGAAGCACCGGCUAACUACGUG
rnacentral:rRNA from 1 species